CCACUGGGCCUAUGCUGUAAAGGAGGAAGUAGCCCCUGGCCCCAGUAGGGACAAGCAGAGGUCUGGCUACAUCCCCCCCCCCCUGGGUUUUCCACAAUACCAUGGCUAGCAUUUUGAGUGGGGUAAUUCUUCAUUGUGCAAAACUGUUCAUGCAUCGCAGGGAUUUGCCUUCCUGGCUGGACCCGUUCCCUCUAAAUGCCAGAGGCACUCUAAUAGUCAGAUGCCCCUCUAACUUGAAAACUGGUUCCAGUGCACAGUAAGUGGCAAUAAGUGGUACCAGUGUCACGUAGGCAUCGAUAACAGACAACAUGUGUGUGAGAAAGCCAGGAAGUCGCCUAUCUCAAGCCAAAUUCAACCUGCAGCGGGUCCUGUCAGCCAAGGGGAGGAUACAGUUCCUGUGUGACUCAGAAGUAUGUACGCAUUGGCAUGUACCUGAACUCAGCCCUGGAAGGAAGUAUCACAAGCCAUACCCUCCACCUGCAACACUACAAACUGCAGUCUCCGAGACCAUGAAGACUCUAGAAUGAGCGGCAGCACCCUGCGGGAGCCAUGUCUUCUAUUUCCUUGGUCAUGUCUCUACUUGUUAGAACUCCAUACUCGGGGAAACAAGCUGCAUACUACAAGGGCCUAAGAUUUGAGUCCCUUCUGCUCCUGCCUCCUGCCCUGAGAAAUAAACAUCUAUGUCACCCCC
rnacentral:lncRNA from 1 species